GCUCGCGGCAGUGGAAGAGCCAGCUCCCCGGCCAGGAUGCGGGGAAGGGCCAGUCGCCGCCGCCUCUUGGAAAAUCCUUGCUGCGCUGUGACCGGCUUGCACACUCGGCAGCCGCCUCUCCGCUUCACGCACCCUCCGGUAACAAAAAGUAUUCAGUAAUAGCCUUUUUGCUGCAACUUUUUCCCUGAUAAUCCUUACUCCUCUGAACUUUCUUCUUUCUGACUAGAGUUCCCAGGCUUCCAUCAACACAUGCCCUAACUAUUCUUGGUUCCACUGGGGUGUCUUCUUCCCUUAGUAAUUUACUUCUCACCCCUUCCAUAUUUUCAUCACAAAGACAAUACAAUACACUGAGACAAAACAAGACACAAACAUACUGUAUCAAUCUUCUCCAUUUUCUCGAAAUGGCCAUUUUUCCUCUCGCCCUAUCUGCCUAGGGACGAGCAGAUUGCUCCCGUCCUAUCUAUGGAUGGGCAGCUUUUUUUUUUUCGUCACUUACCCCCGAGUGUCCCGGGGCUCCCCGUAAUGGGCCACCAUCUGCCGCAGUCCGGCUGCAGCAGAAUAACCGGGGGGUGACGAACAACUUGUGUAGAUUGAUACAGCAGGAGUGGAAGCCGUUUAUUGCAGGACAGGAGCAGUAUUUAUACAUUCCACACAGCUUAUCUAAUUAGCAUAAACUAGAUACAUCAGUCAACCAAUAAGGAAUCUCCACACUUAAUGGCUCGCUGGCUCCACCUCACAAACCACUCCCUCUGGCAUUUUGCCAGGCGCCAUCCUGACUUGUUUACAGACUCUAACACCCAACAUUUCUAGACAUAAUCUCCCACCACAAAGGAGAGACAACAGAGAUAUACAAAGCCAAAACAAGUGUAUAGGAGAAAGCAGUUACAAAGCAGUCAAACAGAGCUGGAAAGUAACGUGAACAACAUGAAAAAACAAGGGAAAAAAGGACUACAAACAAUGCAGGAAAAUUUAAAUCUACAGGAGGACCUAGAAGCAUCAGAAACAUGGACAGGGAAAGAAAUCAAGGCAUACCUAACUCAGAUGGAACGGAAUAUUAGAGAAGACAUGAGACAGCAAGUCCAAGCAUUGAAAGUACAUUUUGAAAACGAACUAAACAAACAAAUUCAAACUGCAAAGACCGAGCUUUACCAGGAGAUAGAGAUUUAAAAAAAAAACCAAACAGUAAUCCUAGAAAUGCAAGAAACCAUAAACCAGAUUAAAAACUCUAAUGAGAAUAUUACAAAUAGACUAGAUCAAGUAGAAGUCAGAACAUCAGAUAAUGAAGACAAAGUUUAUCAACUUGAAAAGAAUAUAGUCAACACAGAAAAGAUGCUUAAAUCUCACGAGCAAUCUAUCCAAGAGAUAUGGGAUCUCAUAAAAAAACCAAAUCUGAGAGUCAUUGGGAUAGAAGAAGGCACAGAGGAUCAAACCAAAGGAAUGGACAACUUAUUAAAUGAAAUAAUCCUAGAAAACUUCCCAGAGAUGAAAGAUGGGAUGGAUUGCCAAAUCCUGGAAGCCUACAGGACCCCAAACAUCCAAAACCAUAAUAGACCAGCUCCAAAACAUAUGAUUAUGAAGAUAGCUAACAUACAGAACAAGGAGAGAAUAUUAAAAGCUACAAGAGAAAGGAGGCAGAUUACAUUCAGGGGUAAACCAAUUAGGUUAACGACUGAUUUUUCAUCACAGACUUUGAAAGCGAGAAGAUCCUGGAACAACGUGUUUCAAAUGCUGAAAAAUAAUGGAUUCCAACCAAGAAUACUGUAUCCAGCAAAAUUAAGCUUCAGACUUGACAAUGAAAUUAAAAUCUUUCACGAUAAACAAAAGCUAAAAGAAUUCGCAGCCAGAAAACCAGCACUGCAAAGCAUUUUGAGCAAAAUACUACAAGAAGAGGAAUUGAAAAAUAGUGCCCAAAACUAACAGUGGGAGGUAUCUCAGUAAAGGGGGAGAAAAAUAACCAAAGAGGAAAAACUAGCAAAACUAAAAUAAAUAAAUAAAUAAACAUGGCUGGAAGUACAAACCAUAUUUCAAUUGUAACCUUAAAGGUUAAUGGCUUAAAUUCACUAAUCAAGAGACAUAGGCUCGUAACCUGCAUUAAAAAAAAAAACAAAUCCAACAAUAUGCUGCCUUCAGGAGACUCAUAUGAUAGGAAAAGACAUACACAGGCUGAAGGUGAAAGGUUGGGAAAAAUCAUACCACUCACAUGGCCCUCGGAAGCAAGCAGGAGUGGCCAUACUCAUAUCGAAUAAAAUCAACUUCAAACCUAAGUUAAUCAAAAGGGAUAAAGAAGGACACUAUAUACUGUUAAAAGGAACCAUCCACCAACAAGACAUAACAAUUAUCAAUUUGUAUGCACCAAACAAUGGUGCUGCAACGUUCAUAAAACAAACUCUCCUCAAGUUCAAGAGUCAAAUAGACCACAACACAAUAAUUAUGGGGGACUUCAACACACCGCUCUCGCCAUUGGACAGAUCCUCUAGACAAAAGCUGAACAAAGAAACUAUAAAACUCAAUAACGCAAUCAAUAACCUAGACUUAACCGACAUAUAUAGAAUAUAUCAACCAUCAUCAAGUGGAUACACGUUCUUCUCAGCAGCACAUGGAUCCUACUCAAAGAUAGACCAUAUAUUAUGCCAUAGGGCGACUCUCAGUAAAUAUAAAGGUGUGGAGAUAAUACCAUGCACCAUAUCUGAUCAUAAUGGAAUGAAACUGGAAAUCAAUGAUAAAAGAAGGAAGGAAAAAUCCUACAUCACAUGGAAAAUGAACAAUAUGUUACUGAAUGAUCAAUGGGUUACAGAAGACAUAAAGGAGGAGAUAAAAAAAAUUCUUAGAGACAAAUGACAAUACAGACACAACAUACCGGAAUCUAUGGGACACAAUGAAAGCAGUUUUAAGAGGGAAAUUCAUUUCUUGGAGUUCUUUCCUCAAAAAAAGAAAAAAACCAACAAAUAAAUGAACUCACACUACACCUCAAAAACCUAGAAAAGGAAGAGCAAAACAACAGCAAAUGUAGUAGAAGACAAGAAAUAAUUAAAAUUAGAGCAGAAAUCAACGAAAUUGAAACAAAAAAAACCAUUGAAAAAAUUGAAAAAACUAAAAGUUGGUUCUUUGAAAAAAUAAAUAAGAUCGACAGGCCCUUAGCCAUGCUAACGAAGAGAAGAAGAGAGAGAACUCAAAUUACUAACAUACGGGA
rnacentral:lncRNA from 1 species